GCUGGUUUAGCUCAGCGGUAGAGCAAUUGCUUUGUAAGCAAUGGGUCGGGAGUUCAAUCCUCUCAACCAGCACCA
rnacentral:tRNA from 1 species